UACGUAGGGGGCAAGCGUUGUCCGGAAUCAUUGGGCGUAAAGAGCGUGUAGGCGGUUCGGUAAGUCGGCUGUGAAAGUCCAGGGCUCAACCCUGGGAUGCCGGUCGAUACUGCCGGACUAGAGUUCGGAAGAGGCGAGUGGAAUUCCCGGCGUAGCGGUGAAAUGCGCAGAUAUCGGGAGGAACACCUAUGGCGAAGGCAGCUCGCUGGGACGUUACUGACGCUGAGACGCGAAAGCGUGGGGAGCAAACAGG
rnacentral:rRNA from 1 species